rnacentral:rRNA from 1 species
CCUACGGGAGGCAGCAGUGGGGAAUAUUGCACAAUGGGGGAAACCCUGAUGCAGCGACGCCGCGUGAGUGAAGAAGUAUUUCGGUAUGUAAAGCUCUAUCAGCAGGGAAGAAAAUGACGGUACCUGAUUAAGAAGCCCGGGCUAACUCCGUGCCAGCAGCCGCGGUAAUACGGGGGAUGCAAGCGUUAUCCGGAUUUAUUGGGUUUAAAGGGGGCGUAGGCUGUGAGGUAAGUCAGCGGUGAAAUGCCCCCGCUCAACGGGGUGAAGUGCCAUUGAUACUGCCUUGCUGGAAUGCGGAUGCCGUGGGAGGAAUGUGUGGUGUAGCGGUGAAAUGCAUAGAUAUCACACAGAACACCGAUUGCGAAGGCAUCUCACGAAUCCGCGAUUGACGCUGAUGCACGAAAGCGUGGGUAUCAAACAGGAUUAGAUACCCCUGUAGUC